rnacentral:rRNA from 1 species
GACGAACGCUGGCGGCGUGCUUAACACAUGCAAGUCGAACGGAAAGGCCCUGCUCUUGUGGGGUGCUCGAGUGGCGAACGGGUGAGUAACACGUGAGUAACCUGCCCUUGACUUUGGGAUAACUUCAGGAAACUGGGGCUAAUACCGGAUAGGAGCUCCUGCUGCAUGGUGGGGGUUGGAAAGUUUCGGCGGUUGGGGAUGGACUCGCGGCUUAUCAGCUUGUUGGUGGGGUAGUGGCUUACCAAGGCUUUGACGGAUAGCCGGCCUGAGAGGGUGACCGGCCACAUUGGGACUGAGAUACGGCCCAGACUCCUACGGGAGGCAGCAGUGGAGAAUAUUGCACAAUGGGCGGAAGCCUGAUGCAGCAACGCCGCGUGCGGGAUGACGGCCUUCGGGUUGUGAACCGCUUUCGCCUGUGACGAGGCGUGAGUGACGGUAAUGGGUAAAGAAGCACCGGCUAACUACGUG